UUACCUGCCCCAGGUCACACAGUCAGCGAGGGGCGGGGAGACAGGACCCCGAGCAUCUGACCCUCUGCCCUCGGCCACUCCAUUCUCCACCCCGACAGCGCCGUGGAUUUAGCAGGGACUAGGCUUCCCAGAAACCUCGCCGCCCCUCUCCUCGCUGCGGGGUGUGGGGCCGCCAUCAGAGACAGCAGCCGGCAGGAGCAAUUAGAGGCCAGGAAGGAGCCGGGUGGAGGCAGUGAGGCAAGAAAGCCCUCCCAGAGAGUUCCCAGGACUGGGAUCCACACUCAGCAUCAGCCAGCACCAGCGACGCCGCCUCUGCCCGGCACCCCCUGCCCGGGGAGCCCCAGCGGGGAGGGAGAUGAAUGGAAAGGGUGCACUGGAGACUGCUGGAUGAGAUGGAAGCUUCGGGAAACCUCUCUAUGCCCCGCAGUGACCCUGUCUGUAAAAGAGGAACAUCACAACACCUGCCUCACAGUAUGUUGUAGAUGAACUCAGGUUUAGCCCCACAGAUAGGCAGAGCAAGUACCCCAAAAUGUCAGCUGCUGGCUUCUCCCAGAGAGGCUGCCUGGCCUGGGGACCCCUGAAUCUGCAGCUGAACAGAAAAACCACUGCGGACUCUCCCCAGCCUCUGCCCCGGGCUGCCC
rnacentral:lncRNA from 1 species